rnacentral:rRNA from 1 species
AUUGAACGCUGGCGGCAGGCCUAACACAUGCAAGUCGAGCGGAGCGACGGACGGGCGAGUAAUGACUAGGAAUCUGCCUGGCCGUGGGGGAUAACGUACGGCAGCGAGCGCUAAUAACGAAUCCUCUCCGUUGAGCUUAGGCCGGAUUAGCUAGUUGGUGGGGUAAAGGCCUACCUAGGCGACGAUCCGUAGCUGGUCUGAGAGGAUGAUCAGUCACACUGGAACUGAGACACGGUCCAGACUCCUACGGGAGGCAGCAGUGGGGAAUAUUGGACAAUGGGCGAAAGCCUGAUGCAGCCAUGCCGCGUGUGUGAAGAAGGUCUUCGGAUUGUAAAGCACUUUAAGUUGGGAGGCGUUACCAACAGAAUAAGCACCGGCUAACUUCGUGCCAGCAGCCGCGGUAAUAC